UUUAAUGGAGUAGCCUACAGAUGUCGUACGAAGACUUAAGCCCGAUCGGAGUCAGCGCAAAUAUCUAAUCGACAGUUUCGCAAUGUCAUUUCACCCUUGUAAAAGUUCUAUCGUCGGUUCGACUCGAUAAUUGAUUCAGAUCAUUAAACAAGCUGGCGUUGCUCAGCCAUUUGCCAAACGUGUCUUAAAUUAAACAAGGGAUAGUCGGGAGUGAGCGAAAGACAAACGUAAAAAAUUAUUUCACGUAGGUAGACGGAUGCACCCUAACCAAAGGCCAUUUUCUUCGGAUUCACUCACCUUUGAUUGUAUAAGAGGAAUGAAGUUACGGGAAGCCUUGUGAGAUUAAAAUAUCACCAACGAAAUCAAUCGACGAGUACAAUCCAAGAAGAGGAGAUUUGAGGUUGUUUUAUUCUCGAGAAAAAUUCCAUCGUCCUAUGUUUUAUCUCCUACAGUCUACUUUUGAGAUUUUACCUUUAAUGUUCUGUGAAAUUCUAAAAUAUCGCAUGAUCAGAAAUUGCCGUGCAUCUCGUUCAGAGGAGAUUAAUUAUGUACUUGAUAAUUAAAAUUUUUAACAUCACUUCAGUUACAUCGUUGUAUUUAUUUUUAUUUAUAUAUUAAUCGAAUUCCCGUUUUCGCGUUCUUGCUCGUUUCAUAUGAGCAUUAUAAAGAAAUUUGGCUUUGAAUCAAGAAAGUCGAUUUUUAAAUGGAAGGUAAAGGAAAUUCCUAGUAUACGAAUGUCGCUUUCACCAACACCAUUGAGGGCAAUAUUAUCAGUGCAUUAUUCGAUUCGAAAAUUGAACUCGCAUAAAAGACCUUGGAACAUGAAACUGCUCGUUGAAGAGAAUCGCAAUACGAUGAGCACAGACUGCAAUGGGUACUGACGUAAUCAUGACAUGGAUACAUAUGUACUCGUGCUCAAUGUAUGCAUAAAAUAUACAAUAUACAUAUGUUCACGUAAAAUGUAAUAGAUUGCACAAUUUGUAACAUGAUCAAUAAAAUUUUUAAAAAUUUUUCUUGCAAAA